CGGCGGACGGGUGAGUUACACGUGGAUAACCUACCUAUAAGACUGGGAUAACUUCGGGAAACCGGAGCUAAUACCGGAUAAUAUAUUGAACCGCAUGGUUCAAUAGUGAAAGACGGUUUUGCUGUCACUUAUAGAUGGAUCCGCGCCGCAUUAGCUAGUUGGUAAGGUAACGGCUUACCAAGGCAACGAUGCGUAGCCGACCUGAGAGGGUGAUCGGCCACACUGGAACUGAGACACGGUCCAG
rnacentral:rRNA from 1 species